AAUAAAUCAAAGAGUUUAUUUCCAAUAGGAGAUAGAAUUUCCAAAGGAAACAAACAAAAAAACCUAAUAUACAUCAGGAACAAACUGAAAAUCUAACCAACAUAUUUCUACAUUCUUAACCUCACUCUCAAAUAUUAUCCUUUCCCUCUAUGAUUUCUACUCUCUGAAUUUAUAACAGUUAUAUUCUCUUCACAUGGACAUCAGAUACAGAGUUUUAAGGUUCAAGCAGUACUAUCUGCCUCUGAACUGAAGGUACCAGAAACUGAAUAUAGAACUUUUGAGCUCUCAAGGAUCAAAGUAUUAUUUGGGGACCACCACAGCAGAGCAACACUUCUAUUUUGAUGAUUAAAAAAAUUUCUGCUUUCUCUCUGCCAACCAAAGAGAGGUUUAGGACCCCAAACUCUUAAAGGAGACAGAGUAACAAGAGUACCAGACUAUCAAAAGACGAGUUAUGAUAUUUUCCAUAGAUCCCUUAUCCUUGUUUUCAAUUGAUGAUCACAGGCUGAAUAAUUGGGGAGCAGGAAAUUUUACCCUACCCACAUUUGAACAUUCAGACAUAUCUCUGAAGAAUUUUUAUUUCCAAGUUAACUAUAUAAGUAAUGAGUGAUCUCAAUUUAAUCAAUCAAAUCAACUUUCCGUUCAAUCAUUAAGAUGAAUUCUAAACCUUAGACUGGCCAUGAUUUAGUGGAACAGUUUUAUCCUAAAGUCAUGGUCUUUUGAACUCUUGAGCAGUGAAAAAGGAAAGCAAGACAACUUUCAUUAGAAUUUGAUCCCCAUUCUUAAUUAGAAUUAAUCUAAAAUUAAUUCAAAAUGUCUUCCUGGCUCUGUUCUGUCCCUUUUGAUAACUGCUUAGAGAGUAAAAAGGAACCAUGUUGUUUAACAUUUAACUGAAUUUCAAUUCCUUUGAACAGGUGAAUGCAGCCAUCUUCAAGAGGACCUCUGCUCUGAGGGUCUCCCAACUCCAAGUGUCCUGGAUCCUCUGCUGGAAAAUGAUGCUAGAGUACAAUGCAGCAACAGGGACCAGCCACCCUACCUGAGGAUGGCCGUGUCCCCCUGCCUCACGGUGAUGUUGUCGGUGCCUCGGUUAAAAUCCACGCUGCGAACAGGCAGUCCUGUGGGAAGAAGGCAGAGCAAUCUCAGUAGGACUAGCGGCAACUGUUUCCGAUCAGGCUGAACUCUGGCGACCAUGGUGGCCACGCCGAGGUGCGGUGCAGGGUCCGGCUACUCUGGAGGGUGCGCGUGCUGCUCACGCCGAGAGGGCUUUACAAACAGAGGACUUUCAUCCACAGCAAAAGCAGAACAGGCUUUGCCAAUUUGUGGUCCUUUCCACUUUGCCUCUUUCUUUCCCUCACUCAGUCUCUUUCCCGUCUAAGACUUAACAAAGCCCUCAUAAAACCAGAGCAGAGGUGGGGAAAAGUCAAAGAAACAAAAUUUUAAAAGAGAGAGUGCAAAUAUAAAACCCUCUAGAAAGGAUGGAGACGAGGCAGCAAAAAGGAAGGUGUUCUCUGGUCUCUGUGGCUGGAUGCUCCUUUGCCAGCAUCUGAGCUGAGCCUCUUCCCUCCGUAACCCACUUUCCUGGGCGGGCGAGGGAUCCGGCACCCAGCCUGCCAGCGAGUGU
rnacentral:lncRNA from 1 species